rnacentral:rRNA from 1 species
GAUGAACGCUGGCGGCGUGCCUAAUACAUGCAAGCCGAGCGAACAGACGAGGAGCUUGCUCCUCUGACGUUAGCGGCGGACGGGUGAGUAACACGUGGAUAACCUACCUAUAAGACUGGGAUAACUUCGGGAAACCGGAGCUAAUACCGGAUAAUAUAUUGAACCGCAUGGUUCAAUAGUGAAAUACGGUUUUGCUGUCACUUAUAGAUGGAUCCGCGCCGCAUUAGCUAGUUGGUAAGGUAACGGCUUACCAAGGCAACGAUGCGUAGCCGACCUGAGAGGGUGAUCGGCCACACUGGAACUGAGACACGGUCCAGACUCCUACGGGAGGCAGCAGUAGGGAAUCUUCCGCAAUGGGCGAAAGCCUGACGGAGCAACGCCGCGUGAGUGAUGAAGGUCUUCGGAUCGUAAAACUCUGUUAUUAGGGAAGAACAAAUGUGUAAGUAACUAUGCACGUCUUGACGGUACCUAAUCAGAAAGCCACGGCUAACUACGUG